CAAGCCUAAGUACUCCUACAUGACCGAUAGUGAACCAGUACCGUGAGGGAAAGGUGAAAAGCACCCCGACGAGGGGAGUGAAACAGACCCUGAAACUGGACGCCUACAAGCAGUCGGAGGGCGCAAGCCUGACGGCGUACCUUUUGUAUAAUGGGUCAUCGACUUGGUCUAUCUAGCAAGCUUAAGCCGUUAGGUGUAGGCGCAGCGAAAGCGAGUCUUAAUAGGGCGUCAAGUCUGUCGGAUUAGACCCGAAACCGAGUGAUCUAGCCAUGUGCAGGAUGAAGGUGGGGUAACACCCACUGGAGGUCCGAACCAGUGCCCGUUGAAAAGGUCUUGGAUGACGUGUGGCUAGGGGUGAAAGGCCAAUCAAACUCGGAAAUAGCUGGUUCUCCGCGAAAUCUAUUUAGGUAGAGCGUCUCGUGAAUACCCAUGGGGGUAGAGCACUGGAUGGGCUAGGGGGUCCCAACGACUUACCAAACCUAACCAAACUCCGAAUACCAUGGAGUAAUGCGAGGCAGACACACUGCGGGUGCUAAGGUCCGUAGUGAAGAGGGAAACAGCCCUGACCGCCAGCUAAGGUCCCUAAGUUAUCACUAAGUGGGAAACGAUGUGGGAGUGCUUAGACAACCAGGAGGUUGGCUUAGAAGCAGCCAUCCUUUAAAGAAAGCGUAAUAGCUCACUAGUCGAGUCGGCCUGCGCGGAAGAUGUAACGGGGCUAAACGUAGAACCGAAGCUGCGGAUGCACUAUGUGCAUGGUAGAGGAGCGUUCUGUACGCCUGCGAAGGUGAGUCGAGAGGCUUGCUGGAGGUAUCAGAAGUGCGAAUGCUGACAUGAGUAACGACAAAGGGGGUGAAAAACCCCCUCGCCGGAAGACCAAGGUUUCCUGCCCCAUGCUAAUCAGGGCAGGGUUAGUCGGCCCCUAAGGUGAGGCUGAAAAGCGUAAUCGAUGGGAAACGGGUUAAUAUUCCCGUACUUGUUAUAACUGCGAUGGAGGGACGGAGUAGGCUAGGCGAUCGCGGCGUUGGUUGUCCGCGUUUAAGCUAGUAGGCUGAGGACUUAGGCAAAUCCGGGUCCUUAAGGCUGAGAGGUGAUGACGAGCUCUCUUUUGAGUGAAGUCGUUGAUGCCAUGCUUCCAAGAAAAUCUUCUAAGCUUCAGGUUAUAACGAACCGUACCCCAAACCGACACAGGUGGUCAGGUAGAGAAUACCAAGGCGCUUGAGAGAACUCGGGUGAAGGAACUAGGCAAAAUGGUACCGUAACUUCGGGAGAAGGUACGCCGGUUUUGGUGAUGGGACUUGCUCCCUAAGCUGAGGCUGGCCGAAGUGACCAGGUGGCUGCGACUGUUUAUCAAAAACAUAGCACUCUGCAAACACGAAAGUGGACGUAUAGGGUGUGACGCCUGCCCGGUGCCGGAAGGUUAAUUGAUGGGGUUAGCGUAAGCGAAGCUCUUGAUCGAAGCCCCGGUAAACGGCGGCCGUAACAAUAACGGUCCUAAGGUAGCGAAAUUCCUUGUCGGGUAAGUUCCGACCUGCACGAAUGGCGUAACGAUGGCCACGCUGUCUCCACCCGAGACUCAGUGAAAUUGAAAUCGCUGUGAAGAUGCAGUGUAUCCGCGGCUAGACGGAAAGACCCCGUGAACCUUUACUAUAGCUUGGCAGUGAUGUUCGGACGUGUUUGUGUAGGAUAGGUGGGAGACUUUGAAGCCGGCGCGCCAGCGUCGGUGGAGUCGUCCUUGAAAUACCACCCUGACCCGUCUGGCCAUCUAACCUCGUCCCCUUAUCGGGGACAGGGACACUGUCUGGUGGGUAGUUUGACUGGGGCGGUCGCCUCCCAAACAUUAACGGAGGCGCGCAAAGGU
rnacentral:rRNA from 1 species